rnacentral:rRNA from 1 species
GAUGAACGCUGGCGGCGUGCCUAAUACAUGCAAGUCGAGCGAACGGACGAGAAGCUUGCGUCUCUGAUGUUAGCGGCGGACGGGUGAGUAACACGUGGAUAACCUACCUAUAAGUCGGGGAGAACUUCGGGAAACCGGAUCUAAUACCGGAUAAUAUUUUGAACCGGAGUGUUCAAAAGUGAAAUACGGCUUUGGUGUUUGUUAUAGAUGGUUCCGCGCUGCAUUAGUUAGUUGGUAAGGUAACGGCUUACCAAGGCAACGAUGCAUAGCUGACCUGAGAGGGUGAUCGGCCACACUGGAACUGAGACACGGUCCAGACUCCUACGGGAGGCAGCAGUAGGGAAUAUUCGGCAAUGGGCGAAAGCCUGACGCAGCAACGCCGCGUGGGUGAUGAAGGUCUUCGGGUCGUAAAACUCUGUUAUUGGGAAAGAACAUCUGUGGAAUUAACUGUGCAUAUCCUGACGGUACCUAAUCAGAAAGCCACGGCUAACUACGUG